GAUGAACGCUGGCGGCGUGCCUAAUACAUGCAAGUCGAGCGAACGGACGAGAAGCUUGCUUCUCUGAUGUUAGCGGCGGACGGGUGAGUAACACGUGGAUAACCUACCUAUAAGACUGGGAUAACUUCGGGAAACCGGAGCUAAUACCGGAUGAUAUUUUGAACCGCAUGGUUCAAAAGUGAAAGACGGUCUUGCUGUCACUUAUAGAUGGAUCCGCGCUGCAUUAGCUAGUUGGUAAGGUAACGGCAUACCAAGGCAACGAUGCAUAGCCGACCUGAGAGGGUGAUCGGCCACACUGGAGCUGAGACACGGUCCAGACGCCUACGGGAGGCAGCAGUAGGGAAUCUGCCGCAAUGGGCGAAAGCCUGACGGAGCAACGCGGCGUGAGUGAUGAAGGUCUUCGGAUCGUAAAACUCUGUUAUUAGGGAAGAACAGAUGUGUAAGUAACUGUGCACAUCUUGACGGUACCUAAUCAGAAAGCCACGGCUAACUACGUG
rnacentral:rRNA from 1 species